UCAGGUUGGGGUCAGCUGCGAUUUGCAAAGCAAAUUGCGAAUGUUUUUGCUUGCGGAGAUGCAGAGCUGUUUGCAUCACCGUUCUCCAGGCCCUUUUUUGUAUCGUUGGGUGCUGAAGAAGAUAAUAAGAUGCUCUGUAUCGUACGUAUACGCCUCCGGUGGUCGGUGUCGAGAGCCAGUGGUUCUUUGUUCGAAAUGUGUUUUUGUUUGGAUGGAUGGUGCAUGGACAUUAUAAAUUGUGAGGCAAAUAUGGGUGUAAAUAAUUUGACGUGAUUCCCAUUUACGUGUAUCGGACAAAUUAUGUGAGACUUUGCGUUCCCUCGCGGACCUCUGAUGGCGAUGCAAGUGGGCAACGGGGAGCUUGGAC
rnacentral:lncRNA from 1 species